rnacentral:rRNA from 1 species
AUUGCAAUGAGCCGAAUUUACACCCCUUAGCGAAGAUCGAUUGGAGGGCAAGUCUGGUGCCAGCAGCCGCGGUAAUUCCAGCUCCAAUAGCGUAUAUUAAAGUUGUUGCAGUUAAAAAGCUCGUAGUUGGAUUUCUGGCAGGGGGCAACAGCCCGCUUGCAGCGUGUGCUUGCCGUCCCCUACCAUCCUUCUGUUAACGCGCCAGGACAUUCACUUGUCGGGCGCGGGCUCAGAUAAUUUACCUUGAGAAAAUUAGAGUGUUUCAGGCAGGCUAGGCCGGAAUACAUUAGCAUGGAAUAAUGGAAUAGGACUACGGUCUCUUUGUUGGUUUGAGGGACUGCAGUAAUGAUUAAUAGGGAUAGUUGGGGGCAUUAGUAUUUAAUUGUCAGAGGUGGAAUUCUCAGAUUUGUUAAAGACUAACUUAUGCGAAAGCAUUUGCCAAGGAUGUUUUCAUUAAUCAAGAACGAAAGUUAGGGGAUCAAAGACGAUCAGAUACCGUCCUAGUCUUAACCAUAAACUAUGCCGACUCG